AAAGUUUCAGUUCCUUUUUCAGCCUGUAUUUCCUCCAAGUAGACUGAAUUAAUCGAGCAGCUCGAGUUUCUUGCCGAAGAUCUAGAAGCCUCGAACACAGAAAUGAUAGCCAGGAUCAAGAGACACCUAAGAAAUUUUACGCUCACAGAAUACUUUCCUGUCCAGUCCACCUACACUUAUGCUAAUGGAAGAACAGAAAUAAUCUGUUAUGUUGCAGGGGCUGCAUGAAGAUUCAGCAAAUGGAGUGCUUCCUUCAGUUAGCGACACACAUUCUUCCUGUAUUCCAAAGCAUAUUUGGGAGUGGAACAUUUUGAAACCCAAAGUAUGUUGAAAUUCAAGAAGUCAACUUGUUUUGAUCUUCAAGCAACAAAGUAUUGGCAAACCGUAAAGACAGAAAGAUCUGCACGAGGCUGAUACCAGACUAAUUACAAACAGAAAAAAAAAAACAAAAAAAAAACACAACAGGCAGCAUGAACAACAUAUUUGAAAAUACAUGACAACAGCAAUGAAUUAAAAUAUGCACAAUGCUAAGUGUACACAUGACAGAAAUCUUGUAAAGUGAGCAAGUUUCCUGUAUAUUUGAAUUACCCUGCCCAGGAACUGCCAAAUACUUUUCCUGUUGCUGUCAUUGCCAAGGUUUACAAAAGAAUCGAGUAAAUUUUAAGCCAAUUACAUAACCAAAACUCUGACCUAGUUUUCAACCUUGUAAAAUGCAGAUAAUAUCUAAAAAAGAAAAUGCAAAAACCCAUAUUUUGGUGAGAUGAAAUAUCCUUGACUGUUGCUAGACAGUUCAGUUUGCUAUACAAAUUUCAUAAUCAAAGGUAUUUUCCAAACAGGGUGAA